rnacentral:rRNA from 1 species
ACGAACGCUGGCGGCACGCUUAACACAUGCAAGUCGAACGAGAGAAGAGAAGCUUGCUUUUCUGAUCUAGUGGCGGACGGGUGAGUAACACGUGAGCAAUCUGCCUUUCAGAGGGGGAUACCGAUUGGAAACGAUCGUUAAUACCGCAUAACAUAAUUGAACCGCAUGAUUUGAUUAUCAAAGAUUUAUCGCUGAAAGAUGAGCUCGCGUCUGAUUAGCUAGUUGGUAAGGUAACGGCUUACCAAGGCGACGAUCAGUAGCCGGACUGAGAGGUUGAUCGGCCACAUUGGGACUGAGACACGGCCCAGACUCCUACGGGAGGCAGCAGUGGGGAAUAUUGCACAAUGGAGGAAACUCUGAUGCAGCGAUGCCGCGUGAGGGAAGAAGGUUUUAGGAUUGUAAACCUCUGUCUUCAGGGACGAAAAAAGACGGUACCUGAGGAGGAAGCUCCGGCUAACUACGUGCCAGCAGCCGCGGUAAUACGUAGGGAGCGAGCGUUGUCCGGAAUUACUGGGUGUAAAGGGAGCGUAGGCGGGAUUGCAAGUCAGAUGUGAAAACUAUGGGCUUAACCCAUAAACUGCAUUUGAAACUGUGGUUCUUGAGUGAAGUAGAGGUAAGCGGAAUUCCUAGUGUAGCGGUGAAAUGCGUAGAUAUUAGGAGGAACAUCAGUGGCGAAGGCGGCUUACUGGGCUUUAACUGACGCUGAGGCUCGAAAGCGUGGGGAGCAAACAGGAUUAGAUACCCUGGUAGUCCACGCCGUAAACGAUGAUUACUAGGUGUGGGGGGACUGACCCCUUCCGUGCCGCAGCAAACGCAAUAAGUAAUCCACCUGGGGAGUACGACCGCAAGGUUGAAACUCAAAGGAAUUGACGGGGGCCCGCACAAGCAGUGGAGUAUGUGGAUUAAUUCGAAGCAACGCGAAGAACCUUACCAGGUCUUGACAUCGUAUGCAUAGCUCAGAGAUGAGUGAAAUCUCUUCGGAGACAUAUAGACAGGUGGUGCAUGGUUGUCGUCAGCUCGUGUCGUGAGAUGUUGGGUUAAGUCCCGCAACGAGCGCAACCCUUACUGUUAGUUGCUACGCAAGAGCACUCUAGCAGGACUACCGUUGACAAAACGGAGGAAGGUGGGGAUGACGUCAAAUCAUCAUGCCCCUUAUGACCUGGGCCUCACACGUACUACAAUGGCUGUCAACAGAGGGAAGCAAAGCCGCGAGGUGGAGCAAACCCCUAAAAGCAGUCUUAGUUCGGAUUGUAGGCUGCAACCCGCCUACAUGAAGUCGGAAUUGCUAGUAAUCGCAGAUCAGCAUGCUGCGGUGAAUACGUUCCCGGGCCUUGUACACACCGCCCGUCACGCCAUGGGAGUCGGUAACACCCGAAGCCUGUAGUCUAACCGCAAGGAGGACGCAGUCGAAGGUGGGAUUGAUGACUGGGGUG